rnacentral:rRNA from 1 species
UAAGUAAUGUGAAUUGCAGAAUUCAGUGAAUCAUCGAAUCUUUGAACGCACCUUGCGCCCCUUGGUAUUCCGAGGGGCAUGCCUGUUUGAGUGUCA